CCUGAUUCUGUUUGAGGUUUCUUCCCAUUGAAGGGGAGUUUUUCCUUGCUGCUGUGGCCAAGUGCUUGCUAAUGGGAGAAUAAUGGGUCUCUGUAAAUUAAAGAGUUCGGUCCAGAACUGCUCUAUGUGAAAAGUGCCCCAAGUAACUUCUGUUGAGAUUUGGUGCUAUAUAAAUAAAUUGAAUCCAAUCAUUUCCAAUGUUCCCACCAACCGACAGACCGUCAGCCACGCGCUUUGCUGUGGCUCCCUCUAGCGGAGUCACUCCUGCAGAUGUUACCACUCCUCUCCCACUGUCCAGGCCAGGAGAGUAAGUGGGAGUCCUCAUAGCUUUUCAUCAAUGCACGGAGCUGCCAGUAAUGUGUUAUCCAGCUCAGAACACAGGAGGCCAUGUCAGGAACAGGUUUUUCCACAUCCGUUACAAAUAUGCAAUCAGUUUGGAGAUGAAGAGGUCAUGGAAGGUGAAGUGGGGUUGCGAUCAGUCUGGAGGUGGUUGGAGGUGAGACAACAGUCAGCAUUUUGUCAAGGCAACCAAAGAGGGGAGCGGAUGAGAGAGAAAAGAAGAGGAGGAGGAGAAGUCCAGCUGCUGACCAGAGUUAUUACUGUGUGAAGCUCGUCUCCCUGUCUUGGCCACAGAAGGCUUUUUCCUUAAAAAGAGAAGAGAGGAGUGGAGCGAUGUGUGUGUGAGUGCAUGUGAUGGAGGGAUGUGGAGGUGCGGGGGAUGGAGGCGAGUGGGGGGUUCUGGUCUCUCGAAAGUGUGACUCAUAGAAUCGGAAUGACCUCCCUCCCAACUAAGAGUAAACCAGCCUCUGCUCUCUCUCUCUCUCUCUCUCACACACACACAAGUCAAUUCUUUUUUCUUUAUUUCUUUCACAUGGACCAAAAGAGCGACUCAGUCUGGGGGGAUUUCUGCAUAAUCAGUUCCAGAAUCAUAAACAGCUCAACUCUGCCAACAUCGCUGCAACUUUUUACUCACUGUUCUGCAGAAAACACAUCAAUUCACUUAUACAUAUGCAAACAUGCACCAACAAGGCUACAGAGCAAACAUAAAAUCAGAUCAAGCACAUGCAUGCAAAUGGAAAUGAAAAUGCACAGAUCUGCACACAGUCUAACAACAUGUUCAUGUUAUCUGCAGCAUACACAAAUACACAAAGGUUACAGAGAGGUUGAAGGGAGCUGUCCUAGUCUCUGUUACUGUGUAUGGAUGGGAGUGAUAUAGUUUUUCCAGAUGUUUUCCAGUGCAACUUCUUUAGCUGAGAAGCUAUAUUUAAGAACAAAUAAACAGGAUAUUACAUUCAACUUAUGAUAAGACAUUUACUCCUCUGUUCCCUUCUUUUCUUUUUGCUUCUUUUUGGAAUCUUUUUCCCUGCUUUUCUCCAGAUGUGCUUGCUGUUCAGACAAGGCAGCUGGGAGCCAUUACCCCAGUGCAUCAUGAACACAAACACACGGUCGUGCGCACACAUCACGCGCACAUAUGGUGGAGUCCAGGUGGGAAACUUAUGUCACCACCAGUGAAUUUCAGUGGAAAAAGGUUGUGCUGAGGUCUGACAGUAAAAUGAUAGCGAAAAGGUCCAAUCCAAAGGCAGGAGGGAGAAGGAAAUUGAGUCUCAGAAAAACUACAGAUGAGCCAAGACAAAUUUCUAUGGAACA